UGCAAGCGUAUACCAAAGUUGUUGCAGUUAAAACGCUCGUAGUCGGAAUUUGGCAGUUCCGGAUGUGUGCACGUCGUGUGCGCACUUCGCGGGGAUUGCUUUUGUGGUCUUGCGUAGGAUGAGGCACUUUUAUUAGUGAACGUCCUCACGCAACCACUUUUUACUGUGAGAAAAUCAGAGUGCUCAAAGCAGGCAUUUGCCGUGAGUGUAUUAGCAUGGAAUAAUAGAAUAGGACUUGGUUCUAUUUUGUUGGUUUGUUGGGACUGAGUAAUGAUUAAGAGGGACAGUUGGGGGCAUUUGUAUUUCGGUGCUAGAGGUGAAAUUCUUAGAUUACCGAAAGACAAACUGCUGCGAAAGCGUCUGCCAAGGAUGUUUUCAUUGA
rnacentral:rRNA from 1 species